UUAAGACAGACCUGCCUGGUUUAACAAGAUGAGUUGUGAGAAUUCUUCCUACUCACCUUUGGGAGAUAAUGUGGGGACUGAGAAUAACUUGGACCAUUCUUCCUAUCUUCCAAAGUCCUCCUCAAUUUUCAGGACAAAGCUAUUUUACUGUUCAAGAUGGACUUCUUAGUGAAAUGCAUUUAUUGACUCUGCAUGAUUGCUUUGCAUGUGAUGUGGUCCUCCAAGUCCCCUCAUCUGCUCUCGUGGUGUCCAGCUUUCCGACAUUGUGGACAAUGCUGCAAAACCUUUCUGGUAGCCUUGGAAAUAAAGAUCGUUACAGUUAGGGAAGAGAAGUCCCACAGCAUUUGCUGUAUGGAAAAGCUCUGGAACUAGAGAGUAUGGAUUUGACAAAGCACUGCAAGUGGUCUUUGGGCUACUGAAUUUCACACUUUAAAAUGAUUAAAACAGAAAACUGUG